rnacentral:rRNA from 1 species
UUGAAGAGUUUGAUCAUGGCUCAGAUUGAACGCUGGCGGCAGGCCUAACACAUGCAAGUCGAGCGGUAGCACAGAGAGCUUGCUCUCGGGUGACGAGCGGCGGACGGGUGAGUAAUGUCUGGGAAACUGCCUGAUGGAGGGGGAUAACUACUGGAAACGGUAGCUAAUACCGCAUAACGUCGCAAGACCAAAGUGGGGGACCUUCGGGCCUCAUGCCAUCAGAUGUGCCCAGAUGGGAUUAGCUAGUAGGUGGGGUAACGGCUCACCUAGGCGACGAUCCCUAGCUGGUCUGAGAGGAUGACCAGCCACACUGGAACUGAGACACGGUCCAGACUCCUACGGGAGGCAGCAGUGGGGAAUAUUGCACAAUGGGCGCAAGCCUGAUGCAGCCAUGCCGCGUGUGUGAAGAAGGCCUUCGGGUUGUAAAGCACUUUCAGCGGGGAGGAAGGCGUUAAGGUUAAUAACCUCAUCGAUUGACGUUACCCGCAGAAGAAGCACCGGCUAACUCCGUGCCAGCAGCCGCGGUAAUACGGAGGGUGCAAGCGUUAAUCGGAAUUACUGGGCGUAAAGCGCACGCAGGCGGUCUGUCAAGUCGGAUGUGAAAUCCCCGGGCUCAACCUGGGAACUGCAUUCGAAACUGGCAGGCUAGAGUCUUGUAGAGGGGGGUAGAAUUCCAGGUGUAGCGGUGAAAUGCGUAGAGAUCUGGAGGAAUACCGGUGGCGAAGGCGGCCCCCUGGACAAAGACUGACGCUCAGGUGCGAAAGCGUGGGGAGCAAACAGGAUUAGAUACCCUGGUAGUCCACGCCGUAAACGAUGUCGAUUUGGAGGUUGUGCCCUUGAGGCGUGGCUUCCGGAGCUAACGCGUUAAAUCGACCGCCUGGGGAGUACGGCCGCAAGGUUAAAACUCAAAUGAAUUGACGGGGGCCCGCACAAGCGGUGGAGCAUGUGGUUUAAUUCGAUGCAACGCGAAGAACCUUACCUGGUCUUGACAUCCACAGAACUUUGCAGAGAUGCUUUGGUGCCUUCGGGAACUGUGAGACAGGUGCUGCAUGGCUGUCGUCAGCUCGUGUUGUGAAAUGUUGGGUUAAGUCCCGCAACGAGCGCAACCCUUAUCCUUUGUUGCCAGCGGUCCGGCCGGGAACUCAAAGGAGACUGCCAGUGAUAAACUGGAGGAAGGUGGGGAUGACGUCAAGUCAUCAUGGCCCUUACGACCAGGGCUACACACGUGCUACAAUGGCAUAUACAAAGAGAAGCGACCUCGCGAGAGCAAGCGGACCUCAUAAAGUAUGUCGUAGUCCGGAUUGGAGUCUGCAACUCGACUCCAUGAAGUCGGAAUCGCUAGUAAUCGUAGAUCAGAAUGCUACGGUGAAUACGUUCCCGGGCCUUGUACACACCGCCCGUCACACCAUGGGAGUGGGUUGCAAAAGAAGUAGGUAGCUUAACCUUCGGGAGGGCGCUUACCACUUUGUGAUUCAUGACUGGGGUGAAGUCGUAACAAGGUAACCGUAGGGGAACCUGCGGUUGGAUCACCUCCUU